rnacentral:rRNA from 1 species
ACUCCUACGGGAGGCAGCAGUGGGGAAUCUUGCACAAUGGGCGAAAGCCUGAUGCAGCGACGCCGCGUGCGGGAUGAAGGCCUUCGGGUUGUAAACCGCUUUCAGCAGGGACGAGGCGAAAGUGACGGUACCUGCAGAAGAAGCCCCGGCUAACUACGUGCCAGCAGCCGCGGUAAUACGUAGGGGGCAAGCGUUAUCCGGAUUCAUUGGGCGUAAAGCGCUCGUAGGCGGUCUGUUAGGUCGGGAGUUAAAUCCGGGGGCUCAACCCCCGUUCGCUCCCGAUACCGGCAGACUUGAGUUUGGUAGGGGAAGGUGGAAUUCCUAGUGUAGCGGUGGAAUGCGCAGAUAUUAGGAAGAACACCAGUGGCGAAGGCGGCCUUCUGGGCCAUAACUGACGCUGAGGAGCGAAAGCUAGGGGAGCAAACAGGAUUAGAAACCCGGGUAGUCCU